rnacentral:lncRNA from 1 species
UUUCUUGAGAGGCAAUCCACCGAUUUUACCCAUCAAGGUCAGUUUACUCAUCAUGGGCGCCAGGUGCCGUGAGGCGACUUGCUGCAGACGAGGAAGGCGUGCCCUGGCUGGUCCUACGUGCUAUUUUAACAUGGCAGCAGCGCACACAGGUCCGCGUUGUCUUGCCCAACUCGGGAUCCGUGGCAAAGCUCGAAGCUGUCC